rfam:Triticum urartu cultivar G1812 contig752387, whole genome shotgun sequence.
GAUCUACUCCCUCCGUUCCAAAUUACUCAUUGCGAAAGUGGAUGUAUAUAGAACUAAAAUACAUCUAGAUACAUUCAUACUUGAGACAAGUAAUUCGGAACGGAGGGAGUAUUGA